UUGUGUUUCUCUACAGUUCCUCCUGUCAUUUCUGUACCUCAUGAUGAAUACACACUCGGUGUUGGCGAGUCUGUCAGUGUGCCAUAUUCAGCGAUUGGACUGCCGGAGCCCGAGCUGUAAUGGCACAAAUUGGGUGGUUCUGUGAGGGGCGGAGUCAACCUCCUGACCUUCAAGAAUGGAACACUGCACAUUAAAAAUGCACAACUUGAACAUGCCCUGAUUUUCACGUGCACAGCCCUGAACAGCGAAGGGAGAGCGAGCCAUGACAUCACAGUGAUUCUGCAUGUCCCGCCCACAAUUCCUGUUGGUCAAUCUGAAGUGUCCGUCAUCCAGGGCUUCCAGAGUCUGCUGCUUUGAUCAGCUCAAGGAGUUCCAGAACCCAAAAUUGACAGGGAGAAAAAUGGAGACCAGAACCUGCGGGGAAAAUUUACUGUCCUGAAUACAGGAGAGCUAAUCAUUGAGAGAACCCAUUUCAGCACACACACACACACACACACACACACACACACACACACACACACACACACACACACACACACACACACACACACACACACACACACACACACACACACACACACACACACACACACACACACACACACACACACACACACA